CGUAGGGCGCAAGCGUUGUCCGGAAUUAUUGGGCGUAAAGAGCUCGUAGGCGGUUUGUCGCGUCUGCUGUGAAAACGCAAGGCUUAACCUUGUGCCUGCAGUGGGUACGGGCAGACUAGAGUGCGGUAGGGGAGACUGGAAUUCCUGGUGUAGCGGUGGAAUGCGCAGAUAUCAGGAGGAACACCGAUGGCGAAGGCAGGUCUCUGGGCCGUUACUGACGCUGAGGAGCGAAAGCAUGGGGAGCGAACAGGAUUAGAUACCCUGGUAGUCAAGGGCG
rnacentral:rRNA from 1 species